rnacentral:rRNA from 1 species
UACGGGGGGAGCAAGCGUUGUUCGGAUUUACUGGGCGUAAAGGGCGCGUAGGCGGCGCAACAAGUCACUUGUGAAAUCUCCGGGCUUAACCCGGAGCGGCCAAGUGAUACUGUCGUGCUAGAGUGCGGAAGGGGCUACUGGAAUUCUCGGUGUAGCGGUGAAAUGCGCAGAUAUCAGGAAGAACACCCGUGGCGAAGGCGGCUCUCUGGGACGGUACUGACGCUGAGACGCGAAAGCGUGGGGAGCGAACAGG